CCCGCCGCCAUCUUGGGAGUGGCGGCGGCCUGAGGGGAGGCGCCAUGUUGAGCGCGGCGCGCCCUGUGGUACGAGGCGGGAUGGCGGGGCCGGGAUUCCCAGAUCCCACCUGUUUUUGGGAAGUGGGAAAACACAAAUUCAUUUAUUAACUGGAUUGCAAGCAACACACACGGAAGAAGCCAUUCGGGGUGGAAGAAGGAGCAGGAGGAGGCGGCGGCACGGCUAUGGCGUUACGUGCCACCAUUUGAAGGCGAAGGGCCGGCGCUGGACGUUGGUGCCGCAGCGCACCUCCCCGAGCCUGCCGUGGUAGGAGCACACGUCCUCGAGGAAGCGGCAGCACAGCCCCAGAGGCUCCAGGAGGCAGCGGGUUUGUCGCUCCAGGCAGCACUCACCCCCCGUUAUGGGGCCGAAGGGUUUGGGGAUGCCCAGGUCCUUGGCCAGGACGAUCAUGGUGACCUGCGGGGGUGACAUGAGAGGGGCCCCGGUGGCGCUGGCGCUGAUGGAGCUGAAGGGAAGGUGCUCAUCACCCUCCUCCGGCAGCCUCACCCCAAAAUGGGGCAUCCACAGCGCUCUUUGCAGCUGCUUUCCCCCAGGAUUCCAAACCCAACGUUGUUUUCCCCUUUUUUUAUCAUUAAACUCACCCCAUGCUGUGUGA